rnacentral:rRNA from 1 species
UACGAAGGGGGCUAGCGUUGCUCGGAAUCACUGGGCGUAAAGCGCACGUAGGCGGAUUCCUAAGUCGGGGGUGAAAUCCUGGAGCUCAACUCCAGAACUGCCUUCGAUACUGGGAGUCUUGAGUCCGGAAGAGGUGAGUGGAACUGCGAGUGUAGAGGUGAAAUUCGUAGAUAUUCGCAAGAACACCAGUGGCGAAGGCGGCUCACUGGUCCGGUACUGACGCUGAGGUGCGAAAGCGUGGGGAGCAAACAGG